GUGGGGAAUAUUGGACAAUGGGCGAAAGCCUGAUCCAGCAAUGCCGCGUGAGUGAUGAAGGCCCUAGGGUUGUAAAGCUCUUUUACCCGGGAUGAUAAUGACAGUACCGGGAGAAUAAGCUCCGGCUAACUUCGUGCCAGCAGCCGCGGUAAUACGAGGGGAGCUAGCGUUGUUCGGAAUUACUGGGCGUAAAGCGCGCGUAGGCGGUUUUUUAAGUCAGAGGUGAAAGCCCGGGGCUCAACCCCGGAAUUGCCGUUGAAACUGGAAAACUAGAAUCUUGGAGAGGUCAGUGGAAUUCCGAGUGUAGAGGUGAAAUUCGUAGAUAUUCGGAAGAACACCAGUGGCGAAGGCGACUGACUGGACAAGUAUUGACGCUGAGGUGCGAAAGCGUGGGGAGCAAACAGGAUUAGAAACCCUGGUAGUCC
rnacentral:rRNA from 1 species